rnacentral:rRNA from 1 species
CCUACGGGAGGCAGCAGUGAGGAAUAUUGGUCAAUGGACGAGAGUCUGAACCAGCCAAGUAGCGUGAAGGAUGACUGCCCUACGGGUUGUAAACUUCUUUUAUAAGGGAAUAAAACGAGGCACGUGUGCCUUUUUGCAUGUACUUUAUGAAUCAGGUUCGGCUAACUCCGUGCAAGCGGCCGCGGUAAUACGGAGGAUCCGAGCGUUAUCCGGAUUUAGUGGGUUUAAAGGGAGCGUAGAUGGGUUGUUAAGUCAGUUGUGAAAGUUUGCGGCUCAACCGUAAAAUUGCAAUUGAUACUGGCAGUCUUGAGUACAGUUGAGGUAGGCGGAAUUCGUGGUGUAGCGGUGAAAUGCUUAGAUAUCACGAAGAACCCCGAUUGCGAAGGCAGCUUACUAAACUGUGACUGACAUUGAUGCUCGAAAGUGUGGGUAUCAAACAGGAUUAGAUACCCCGGUAGUC